rnacentral:lncRNA from 1 species
AAAUAGAGCACAACAACAACAAGCUUAGCCAAUUUAUUAAACAAAAUCAUAGCUAUAAAGUUAUAAUCAAUCAAAUUAAACCAAUAAAUUACUGAUCAAAUGCGAGAAAACGAACCGAGAAAUAAGAAAAUGAGAGCUCCAGAUUCCGCGGAGAGAGAGAGAUCUGAAGAGUCGAUGAGAGGAGUACUUUGUGGAGAGAGAUUAGUACUUUUAAGGAGCAGAGAACAUCGAGAAGAUCGUCGCCUGCCUGGGUUUAUUCAACAACGAAAAAAAUCAGUGUUUAGAUAUAUAGAUAAAAGCUAUGCAGAAGCAGCAACUUAUGAGUGAGUUUGAUUUCUGAGUUUUCGAUACUUCUUAUGCGGAUGAAAAAUAAUAAGAAAUGAAAAAGGGCAAAAUGUAAUUAAAAUAAAAAUAAUAAUUAAAGAAAAAACCUACCUGUGUGCUUGUUAUUUGCUAAUAAGAGGAGCCAGCUUUUCUCGGUUCGGCCGUUAAAUGUGUUGAACUGAAAGCUGGAGUCACUUCUUGACCUUUGGAUUUGGAUUUUUCUGCACCUGCACCAUAUCCAUU